UUUGGCAUCGGCGUAGCGGGUGGGGUCGUCGCCGAAUUCGGCUAGCACCCGGGCGCCGAGGAUUCGGCCCAGGCCGGGCUGG
rnacentral:sRNA from 1 species